AGGCUGGAUUUGAAGGACUCCGAGCCUGGCCCUGUCCAGACCGCAGUUUUCUAAAGUGACUUUGCAGCAAAGUCCGGUAGAAUUGCUAAGUUUGGGGGGAGGGGGUUGUGGGGCCUGCUUCGUCCUUUCCGGCUACCAGCCCCUCAUUCGCUCCAUCACCUAAAGUGUUAAAAAAAAAAAAAGCUCUUGGGUCCCACGGUAAGAGCGCAUAAAGAGAGGAGGUACAAUGACCGUCCUUUGCCAUUGUAGGGCUCCCUAAUUUAUGCAUCUUUAGAUCCUUAAGCAUCAUUUUGUGGGCAACCAAACGGGCACUUCCAAAUUAGCUCGAAGUAUCCAAGCCCAGAGAAGAGAGAAAACACACAUACACUGACAAAUACGCAGAUGCUAACUCCAAAAACAAUGAUAACGGGGAAAUGAAGAUACCAUUUUUAAGUUUUCCUGGAAACUGGAGCGAGAGAAAGAAAAACACGGAGAGUGCUUUCUUAAGCAAUACUUGUUUUUUUCCCCCCAGAAGAAGGUCUUUCCUGAACUUGAAACAUUUGGGCUAGGUCUUCAUCCUCACCUGCACUGGAAUUACCUACUUAAAAAAACGAUUCACAAAGAAGCAUUUAUAAAUCAUGGGAAUGACACAAAAGUGUCACAAACCGCAGGCCAUCGGAAUUUAUCCCAAAAUACCAAGCCAGAGAAAUGA
rnacentral:lncRNA from 1 species